rnacentral:rRNA from 1 species
GAUGAACGCUAGCUACAGGCUUAACACAUGCAAGUCGAGGGACCGGCGCACGGGUGAGUAACACGUAUCCCACCUGCCCUUUACUCGGGGAUAGCCUUUCGAAAGAAAGAUUAAUACCCGAUAUAAAGGAUGGGGAUGCGUUCCAUUAGGUUGUUGGUGAGGUAACGGCUCACCAAGCCUUCGAUGGAUAGGGGUUCUGAGAGGAAGGUCCCCCGGAUUGGAACUGAGACCCGGUCCAAACUCCUAGGUGAGGCAGCAGUAAGGAAUAUUGGUCAAUGGGCGCUAGCCGGACCCAGCCAAGUAGCGUGAAAAAUGAAGGCUUAUGGGUCGUAAACUUCUGUUAUAUAAGAAUAUGUAUUAUAUGAAUAAGGAUCGGCUAACUCCGUGCCAGCCGCCGCGGUAAUUC